rnacentral:lncRNA from 1 species
GGAGCCACGUUAAACAUUAACUCAGAGGGGCAGACUUCGGCCCUUCGGAGAUGGCCGAGAAGCCACAGCGGCGGAGAGGGGCCCGGACCCGGCCUUCUCCGGACCCGGCGGCGCCCCGACCGCGAGCGGCCAGGGGUCCGAGGCGCCCGAGGCCUCGCUUAGCCGAGUCUGGGCUCCGCCGCUGUCCGCAGCGGCCCACUGGCCCUCGGUCUCCCCUUUCCGCUUGGGCCGGCUGUGACCCCCGAGGCCCCUGGGGUCUGGGAUGGAGGCCGGAGGGCCCGAAGGACGGAAAGUUAAGCUCGACACAGACCCCGGGGCCGGGACCCGAACUCGGCACGCGCGGGCGAUGCUCGGUCGCCCAGGCAGGCGGGGCUCCGACGGGGCUCCCAAAGCUCUGAGACAUUGCCACAACACCGAAGCCCGGCUGUGAAACAACCCUGACUCUACCGCAGGCUCCGGGUCCCUCGGCGGAAAGGCCGCCUUCAUAGCCACAGAAAAAGUUGUAAGGUCCAGGCGCGGAGCCCAGCCGGCGAUCGCAAAUGGAACGGUUGGCUGGGGCGCAGCGCAUGGAAAUGCCAGUUGGGACCCGCGGCUCUGCCAACAGCGGCGGAUCCGACUGAGAAGCUCGAACUGGUCCAGCACUCAGGAGGCUGAGACAGGAGGAUUGCCAUGUGUUUGAGGCCAGCCUGGGCUACAUAGCAAGACCUUGUCUAAAGAAAACAGAAAACAACAACAACACACAACAGAAACCCCAAAAGUGAUGGUGCUGAAUCUUCUUGGAGAGAGGAUCUCAUAGGUGGAUUAGGUCAAAAGAGCAAUAAAUCCUCUGCUUUCAGCAAAUAUUACUGAUCCCAGCCAUGCCUGCCCUGGAAGGAGUGGGGUAGACAAGGAGGCCGUGGACAGAUGGUGUCAGAAAACCGAGGAUCUGAACAAACCGCUCCCGAGGCACCGGAUGUCCCAAGCCUGCGGGACAUUCCUGGCCACCUUCCGUCCUAAGGCAGAAAACCUGGAUGCAUUCUGACCCUUUGUGCCUCACUUCUGAGGAAAAUAACCUUUCUGUCCUCUGUCUCCUUUGCUUAAUCCUAAGAAUAAUGGGAAAAGGAUAAAAACCCACACCAGCCUAGAAGUGUGGUCACCAGGCGAGAUGACCACAGCCUGGUGGCCAGGCACACUGGGCCCGCAGAGCUGAGUGGAUAAAGGUUAGGACAGGGCAGUAGGGCAGGGACACGUCCAGGGGGAGGGGCAUUCCCAGUACAGUGAAUGACACUAUCACCCAGUGCACAGAGCCAAUCAGAUGCUGUUUUGGACCAAUCAGAAUCUUGCUAUUUUCAAUCCCUCAUUUGAAUCUGCUGCUGUUCACAGGACCAGUCAGAAGAUGCUCUUCGCAAUCCUUCAUUUGCAUGUGGGCACAGCCAAUCAAGACUCUGCUCCUGAUCCUUCAUUUACAUAAGGCAAAAACCAGAGGCAUUUUGGGAUAGGACAGUUCAUUCCCAGGGAGUGUUUGAUAGGACGACUAUUCUAAUGCCUUCUUUACAUGAAGAGAGAGAGAUAAUGCAGGAAUUCCAGAUGCAAAAGACCUUUCCCCCUCCCGAAGGCUGCUGUGAGUGUAUUUUUCUGCCUUCAAUAAAUGUACACUCUUGCUGCCUUUUCUGAGUGUCUUGUUCAGGUCACCAAGAACCUGGAAAGAAGCCCCACGGGACCCUCCAUCCACUAACAUUUCGGACAGGAACUCCCAGGUGCUGGUCACCUCUGGAUGGUGGACUUGGUUUGAUAGCACCCACUCAGCGCUCGCCUCCCCCGGCCAGGCUGGGCCCUGGAGGCCAGGCAUCGCACCUGGGUGGGACAGUUGGCUGUGAAACUGAAGUGAGCAGGACCAUCUUCGCUGGCCUGGGGCUGUGAUACCCUUCACUGCUACUGACCCCCUCUGGGCCCACAUUAAAGUCCACCGUUCUGAGCUGGACAGCGGGAAUGAGCCCCUGUGCUGCAGAAGGGCCUGAGGGUCAGAGCUCAGGAGAUCCCAUUGCUUUCUUCCAUGUUUUGUUUCAGAAUGAACGUGCUCUUUGUGGUUGUUUCAUGAGGUUCAAGAAACUCCACAACCCAUUUGGCCACCCACUGAUCUUUUAGGGAAAGACCCCCCUAGAAGGAUUGGUCCAAGGGUUUAUUAAUUUGGAAGGAAGGCUAAUAAAGCGGAAAAGGAUUAUUUUGCUCCAGCCCAGCACUGUUUUAUUUAGAGCUGUACAGAGAGUGUUUCUGAUGCUGUGAUUUGUGCUGGCACUUUGCUUGGUGUCACAGCUAAAGUAGAUCAGGGCAUUGCUAUAGUGGAAAAACUCUUUAACUUCUCUAUUUUAUUAAGUCUUACAUUAUGUGAUGAUUCUUUAAACAUCCCCAAAAGUUUUGAGGUCCUUAAAAACAAACACUGGGAACAGUAAGGUGGCUUUAAUCAAGACAAGAAACUAGAGAGUAAAAUGGUAACUAAACAUUAACUUUGCAUAUUGCUGUAGUUUGGAUGUUAAAUAUCCCCCAAAGCCCAAGUGUUGAAGGCUCAGUCCCCAGCCUGCAGUGCAAUUGAGAAGUGGUGAGACCUUUAAGGGCAGGGCCUAGUGAAAGGGAGUUAGGUCAUUGGGGUAUGGCCUUGAAGGGACCUGAGCUCCGCCCCUUCCUGCUCCUUUCUGUCUGCUUCCUAGCUGCCAUGAUGUGAGCAGCUUUGCGCUUCCCCACACUCCUGUCAGGAGGAGCCACUUCACCCUAGGCCCCGAAUCCAGGGCCCCACUGCCUGUGUACUGAAACUUGUGACAGUGGGAGCUCCAAUUCUCCUUUAAGCUUGAUUGUCACAGGUGUUUGUUGCAGUGAGAGAAAGCUGACCUACCCUAGAUAUUGAUUUUGCAUGGAUUAAUCACAUCAGAUGAAAUGCAGAAUUCUGAUAGGAACUUGAGAAAGGGUGAGCAUGAAGGCCAUGUCUAGAAGUUGGCCUGGUUUGGAGUCUGACAGCUGAGACUUUGGUUUUAAGUGUCCCAGUGAGAGGCCUUCUCUCUGCCUGCUGGCACCUGCUGCUCUUACUCGACCCCUGCAUGGGGGCACAGGGCAGCUCAAGGAGGACAGUCACUUUGGUGGCUCCUUGGAUUCGGCUGAGGAACAAGCUCACCCCUCAGCCACCAUGAAGCCGGCACUGAGGGGUCUUAUUUGCCAAAAGAGGCCUCGUUAGUAAGUGGUUUUGGUUGUGUUUUUAAGCUCUAUUUGCCAACUAUAGGGAUUAACUUUAAUUAGUUUUACAAAACUUAAAGGGUUUUAAAAAACUUUUCAAAUAACUUGAGGAAAAUAAUAUACUGUUACUUCUCAUGGGAUUAAUUUCCUGAAAGGCUCCCUGCUCGGGCUUAGACAUAGAUUUUCUGCUCCCCAUGCUUCUCCGCCCUCCAGACCUCUCAAGGUCAUUUCCACAGAAAUGCUUGGUUAAUUAGGGGUUCUAGUGACUGAGGAGAUACGAAUAGAAAACUUGGUUGAAAAUGAGGAAGUUGUGUUGUAUGCCUGUAUCAGUUUUGGCAAAAUGGAUAUCACUAUUCUGUAAUACGAACAUGCACUUAAAAAAAAUAAAGAAUGGAGGCCCCGGGGAUUUAGCUCAGUGGUUCCAGCACCUGCCUUGCAAACACAAGGUCCCGAGUUCGAUCCCUGGUACCAAAAAAAAAAAAGAAUGGAGAAGUUAGGUGUGGUGGCACACCUGUAAUUCCAGCACUGGGGAGGCUGAGGCAGCAGGGUCCCUGUGAGUUUGAGGCCAGGCUGGGUUCAAGACCAGUGAGUCCAAGACGAGCUUGGAAUACAUAGCAAGACUUUCUCUCAAAAAACCAAACAAAACCAAAAACAAAAACAAAACCAACAGCAAAACAAAAUGAACUCCAUCAGAAAAACGCAAUCAGAAAUAGACUCAAUCAAACAAAACUCAGAAAUUUCUUUUCUUUCUUCUCUUCCUCCCCCCCCUUUUCCCUCCUCCCAUUUCUCCUUCUUUGAGACAGAUUCUCACUGUGUAGUUCAGGCUGGCCUUGAACUCACUAUGUAUACCAGGCUGGGCUCAGACUCACAGCAGUCCUCCUGCCUCAGCCUCCCAAGUGAUGAGAUUAUCCACCACAACCACCCCUGGCAUUAAUUUUUAAAAAAUACAUAAUUUGGAAUUUACUACUACUUUUUUGGCUUAAAGAAGAGUUUAUUUAUUGGUGACUAUAACCUACAUCUAUAUCCUGCCGAAAAAGUUUACACACUUCAGCAGUUUGUGGUACUAAUAAAAGCCUGGAAGCUCAGGCCCACCACUGAGUACCUUGUGUGAUUGUAGAGGCCGAAGGUAACUUGCGUUAAUCUCAUGAUGUCUUGAUAAAUUCAGUAUUAAAAUAUUUGUAGAAGUUUUUCUUUUUCUGGUGCACACUUUUUCUGGCAGACUACGUAUGAUGAUGCACAUGUAUCUGUGAUUACCGUACAUAUAUAUGUGAAUACUCAGCUGAGGGUUUUAGCUUUAUUUUCCUGAACACUGUUGGGGAAAUUGAGACUGUGAGAGAUUCUUACUUGAAGAGCCUGUUUUGUGCUCUUGGCUCUUAACUACCCCUUGGCGCUGCUGUAUUUAAUUCAUUUAACCUUCAAGGCCCCAGGGUCACCUGGCCUCGACCAAGUUCUACUGUUUCUGCCUGAAGGAAAGGAAGAGGGAGGGAGGAUCUCAUUUUGAGACCCGGAAGUUUGAUACUUGGCUUCCAAGUUGCGUUUGGUGCCUAGAUAUCCACCAGCAAGCGCUUAACGCGACACAGGACCGCCUGGGCCAUUUGUAGACUGGUGCGUGCUAGUUGCUGUCACUCACGUCCCACGGUCGGAUGGCGACAGCAGCACCCAUCUGCCCUGCGGUCUCCUGCUGUGUGCAAACAAGGCCGGGUGCCCUUGCGGUGGGGGCCUGCUCUCUCAAGCUGUGUCCCUCCAGAGGAGCCAGGGAGCCACAGAUGUGAAACAGCAGCCCCAGGCAGAGCCGUGGCAUCCGAUGUGUCCCGGACGGGGUCCUCACCCGAGGAGGAGCCGCAUGGAGAGGGCCCAACUCGGGAACGAAAGCACUGGAGUGGCGGUGGCCCCUUCCUCCGCUGUGGGCCGUGAACUGCAGGCUUCCAGGCCGCGCGAGACAGAGGCCCGCUUUCAUCUGCUGAACACGCUGCGCCCACUCCGCUGCGGGCUCUGAGCUCCGGAGUGC